CUCUCUCUCUCUGUGGCGUGGGUUUUGUGUCUUCUGUGUGUGAAAUUUUUAAUUUCUCUUUCUCUUUCUGGUUUUGUUUCUUGCGAAGUGCAGAAUUCAGGUUUCAGGGACUCGAGGAGCUUCUCUCAGCCGCCUUUCAUGCUGGUAAUCUCUACCGCCCCCUCUCUCCAUCGUUUGUUCACGAUUGAACCUCCUGGUUUUCUUGAAUUGCUUAUAAGAGGUUCCCACUAAUGGCAAGCUUUGUGCUGACAAGCAAAACCAAAUCUUUAGUUGGAACGUUGUAUCAGUCAAUUUUGUGCUAAUAACCACGAAUACAAGCAUAAUUAGUAUCCUCUGCUUGUAGCGGUGAGGCCAAGGGCGAGCUUCUGGCAAGCGAUGGAGACGUAGAAGACGAGGUGGGUGAGAGAGAGAGAGGAGGGGGAUGGAAAUCCAAGCAUUAUACUGGACAUAAACACUAGACUUGGAGUAGCACUGCUGUGUAGGUGCAGUAGUUGGAAAGCUCAUCAAUUUGGUGACGAAGUGAAGGUUACCCAAGCUGAUGUAUUCAAGUAGCCGAAUAACAUUAGGCAACCUGAUGCCUGCAAAGUUUUUGAAGGUAUAGCUAUGAAUUUGUCACAAGUGCUAAAGCAAAAUUCUCGGUUUUUUUUUUUUAUAAUGUAAGUGUGUGAAAACAAAAGAAGUUUUGCGCUUGUUUGUUCGUGGUGUGCCAAUUUAAAAAUUCAUGUCUCGAAAUAUUGAAGAGAUCGUGUUGUAUUGGAAUUUGAAAUUUUCGAGCAUAUAUCUCUCUUUUCCUCCAA